rnacentral:rRNA from 1 species
UACGUAGGGGGCAAGCGUUGUCCGGAUUUAUUGGGCGUAAAGAGCGUGUAGGCGGCUGGGUAGGUCCGUUGUGAAAACUCGAGCUCAACCUCGAGACGCCGAUGGAAACCCUCCAGCUAGAGUCCGGAAGAGGAGAGUGGAAUUCCUGGUGUAGCGGUGAAAUGCGCAGAUAUCAGGAAGAACACCCGUGGCUAAGGCGGCUCUCUAGUACGGUACUGGACGCUGAGACGCGAAAGCGUGGGAGCGAA